rnacentral:rRNA from 1 species
GACGGAGGAUGCAAGCGUUAUCCGGAAUUAUUGGGCGUAAAGCGUCCGCAGGUGGCCUAUCAAGUCUGCUGUCAAAGACCGGGGCUUAACCCCAGAAAGGCAGUGGAAACUGAAAGGCUAGAGGAUGGUAGGGGCAGAGGGAAUUCCCAGUGUAGCGGUGAAAUGCGUAGAUAUUGGGAGGAACACCAGUGGCGAAGGCGGCUACCUGGACCGGUUCUGACGCUGAGGCGCGAAAGCGUGGGUAGCAAACAGG